AUCGGAAGGUGCGGCUGGAUCACCUCCUUUCUAAGGAAGAAGUAGAGAAGAAAAAUGUGUUUUACUGUUGAGUUAUCAAGGAAAAAGAGGUAGUUCUGCUACGCAGAACAAGCUUAUUUACUAAGCUCGGAAAUACCUCGCCAAGUAAAUAAAGCUUCCGGUGUCGAUGCGCUUAGGGGAAACACCCGUUCCCAUCCCGAACACGACGGUUAAGACCUAAGCGGCCGAUGGUACUGCAUUGGAGACGAUGUGGGAGAGCAGGUGGGCACCGGAUCAAAGAAAAAAACAAGUGGGUAACUUGUUCAUAUAGAAACAGACACCGGUAAGUGAGUUCUGUCGGAAACAGAACGGUAAAAGACGAAGACCGAGAGACUGGUGUUAACCCGAUCAGCAGGGAAGUGCUGUUAUGAUAACUGGUUUUACCAGUGAUUAGAGGUUUUAAAUAGAAGCUUUCUGAUAUUUAAGAUUUCUAAUGACUGAUAAAAAUUCAGUCAGAUAUGUACCUUGAAAACUGCAUACAUGUAAAUUUGAUUAAACUUUAAUCAAAUAUCCUUGAUACAAACGUUAAAACGUAAGAUAGGAAGACAUCGAUUUAGUCUGUGAGAGCAGACAAAGAUCAACAAUGAGAAUCAAAAGACCGCAUCACCUACGCUAGGGUGAUGAGCGAAAGGUCAAGCAAUAAGGGCACAGGGCGGAUGCCUUGGCACUAAGAGCCGAAGAAAGACGUGAUAAGCUGCGAUAAGCUUCGGGGAGGAGCAAAUAUCCUUUGAUCCGGAGAUCUCUGAAUGGGGAAACCCGGCAGAGCACACCUCUGUCAUCCAUACGCCAAUCCAUAACGUAUGGAAGGGAACCCGGGGAACUGAAACAUCUAAGUACCCGGAGGAAAAGAAAGAAAACUCGAUUCUGCAAGUAGCGGCGAGCGAACGCGGAAGAGCCUAAACCGGAAUGCGUGCAUUCCGGGGUUACGGACUGCAUUAAAGAUUCUUGNACGGUCCUAAGGUAGCGAAAUUCCUUGUCGGGUAAGUUCCGACCCGCACGAAAGGCGUAAUGAUUUGAGCGCUGUCUCGACAAUGCAUCCGGUGAAAUUGAAGUACCAGUGAAGAUGCUGGUUACCUGCGCCAGGACGGAAAGACCCCAUGGAGCUUUACUCCAGUCUGGUACUGGGGUCCGGUAUUGCAUGUACAGGAUAGGUGGGAGGCUAGGAAGCAGUGACGCCAGUUGCUGCGGAGCCGCUGUUGGGAUACCACCCUUGCAGUACUGGGCUUCUAACCAGCCGCCGUGAACCGGCGGUGGGACAAUGCCAGACGGGGAGUUUGACUGGGGCGGUCGCCUCCGAAAGGGUAUCGGAGGCGCCCAAAGGUUCCCUCAGAAUGGACGGAAACCAUUCGAAGAGUGCAAAGGCAGAAGGGAGCUUGACUGCGACACCGACGGGUGGAGCAGGUACGAAAGUAGGGCUUAGUGAUCCGGUGGUAUUAAGUGGGAAUGCCAUCGCUCAACGGAUAAAAGCUACCCUGGGGAUAACAGGCUUAUCACUCCCAAGAGUUCACAUCGACGGAGUGGUUUGGCACCUCGAUGUCGGCUCAUCGCAUCCUGGGGCUGUAGUAGGUCCCAAGGGUUGGGCUGUUCGCCCAUUAAAGCGGUACGCGAGCUGGGUUCAGAACGUCGUGAGACAGUUCGGUCCCUAUCCGGCGUGGGCGUAGGAUAUCUGAGAGGAGCUGUCCUUAGUACGAGAGGACCGGGAUGGACGGACCGCUGGUGUACCGGUUAGACUGCCAAGUCUACGGCCGGGUAGCCAAGUCCGGAAGGGAUAAACGCUGAAGGCAUCUAAGCGUGAAGCCCCCCUCAAGAUGAGAUGUCCCAUUCGAAAGAAGUAAACCCCCUUGA
rnacentral:rRNA from 1 species